CUGCUGAACCCGGAACAGAUUGCGGUAGAACUUUUGUUUCAGGCAGGAUGAAUAACAACAGAACACCGACACAGUGGUGCCACGUGGUGAUACGGAGAAAAGAUCUCUGUUAUGUUUGCACUCCCCUAGCGGAGCAAUGGCUGGGAGAGGAAGAGGCAGAGGCAGGGGUCAGGUGACCUUUAACAUGGAGGCUGUAGGGAUUGGGAAGGGAGAUGUCCUUCCUCCACCCACCCUCCAACCCACCCCACUGUUCCCACCCAUGGAGUACAAGCCAGUGCCGCUGCAGCCAGGAGAGGAGGCGGAGUACAUGCUGGCACUGAAACAAGAGCUCCGUGGGGCCAUGAGGAGCCUGCCCUACUUUGUCAAACCUGCAGCCCCAAAGAAAGAUGUGGAACGUUAUUCCGACAAAUACCAGAGUUCAGAACCGACCGACAAUACCAUUGAAUGGAAUCCAGAUUGGAGAAGGCUGCCCAGGGAGAUGAGAAUUCGGGUGAGAAAGCCGCUGAAGGAGAAGGUUCUAGUAGGUGUCCCCAAACGCAAGCAGCAGACUCGUGUAGACAAGGAGGAGAUCAUCCGCAAAUUGGAGACACUAGAGAAGAAGGAGGAGGAGGUAAGCUCAGAGGAAGAGGAGGAGGAGAAGAAGAAGAAACAGGAGGAAGAAGAGCAGGAGAACGAGGAGGAAUACGACGAGGAGGAGUUUGAGGAGGAGACUGAUUACAUCAUGUCCUACUUCGAUAACGGGGAGGAGUUUGGAGGAGACAGUGAUGAUAACAUGGAUGAGGCCAUUUACUGAGGCCCCAUCCCUGCAGGAGUGCUGCUGCUCUGCGGAUCGAAAGCACAAACGUUACCCCUGCUCUGCGGCGCUGCACAUGUCCACAGCAGAGCUCCAAGGACACAGGGGUGUUAUGGACCAAAGAACUCUGAGGACAGCCUGGUUUUUGCAGACUGAUGGCAUCUGCACGAUGUUGGAAAGCGAGGUGAAAUUAGGUAGAAUGGCACAGGUGAGACACAGACCUUCCCCUCACAGCUCUUCAAGCAAGCACUCCUCAGCUCUGACUUGAACAGCCCUGCCUGCCACCCAGGCCUGGGCUUUCUGAAGCAGUGACAACUGUGCUAUGCUUCGUGGGGUUUUGCUGUGCGGACUACCCUGAUGUGCACUGGGGCUGUGAACUAUCAAACUUAAUCAGGAUUCAAAGCCAAGCCUGCACAGUUGAAACUCUAAUGAGUGAGCGCACAGUGUCUCCUACAGUAGAUAUAAUGCGGUCCUCGGAUGCUUAUUGGCAAAUGCUUUUUUAAAAAUGUUCUUCAUUCUUCUGUUGACAGGUUUGCAGUGUUUGAUCUGUUGUAGCUCUGUGUGUUUUCCACAAACCGAGGACUGACAUGUGAUUCCACUAGUUCUGCAGGAUAUUCUAUAGAUUGCUUGCGCAGUUUUUAUUACCUCGUCAAAUAGUUGGUAACUUGACACCAACCGCUGUGCUGUGCCGAAGGCGUUCUUCACACGCUGAAUUUCAAAACACCAUUGUACCUGCACGGUACAUCAUUUCACAGGUGCAACAGAGAAGGAGAAGUGAGUAAUGGGCAGCAGUGUGGAGUAGUGGUUAGGGCUCUGGACUCUUGACCGGAGGGUCGUGGGUUCAAUCCCUGGGGGGGACACCGCUGCUGUACCCUUGAGCAAGGUACUUUACCUAGAUUGCUCCAGUAAAAACCCAACUGUAUAAAUGGGUAAUUGUAUGUAAAAAUAAUGUGAUAUCUUGUAACAAUUGCAAGUCGCCCUGGAUAAGGGCGUCUGCUAAGAAAUAAAUAAUAAUAAUAAUAAUCCACUGAGAAAUCUUCUCCUGCCUGCUGGCAGCCAUUUCUAUUCUGUUUUCUCUCCAAACUUUGCUUGGUGUGACUCUUUCCUUCAUUGCUCCCUUAUUCUCCUAUAAAAAUAAAGAACUGAAAGCAUGGUGACAAAUGGCAAAAACAAAACUGGUAAAUUGCACAGUAUAAACAUGGAUGAAGGCUUUUGGUGCAGUUGCAGCUUUUUUUUAUUCAACCCUUUUUUUUCUGAAGGGAAUAUGUUCAGCUUAUUGAGGGUUUAAUAGUUAUGGAUGAUUAAAAAAACAAACCCAGAAACAGCUGUGAAGGGACUUCCCUUCCCCCAGCAACUGCUCGGGGGCCUGUCCUGUCACUCACACUUGUUUUUCUCUCCAGUCCACAGAAGCGAUCUGCAGUACGUGCUGAAAGCUAUACAGGGGUGGGGCUUGUAUAGCAAGGGAGCAGGUUGUCUCCACCCUCCAAACCGUGCUAGUCUCUCCUGUUGUCUGCUGUUUCACUUCUCAAGUUGGGUCUGGCUCAUUGCCAGACUUUCAUAUACAUCAGUACAAAGUGUCCCAGGACGCUUCCUAGUGUUUACCUUCCGGCGUUGUCCAAAUCGCAGCAAUGUUUUUUCAGCAUUUUCAGUAAUGUUAAAGCUGACAGUAAUGUUGUUGAAGCUGACAGUAAUGUUGUUGAAACUGACACCCUGGGAUCCUUCAAGAAGCUGCUUGAUGAGAUUCUGGGAUCAAUAAGCUACUAACAACCAAACGAGCAAGAUGGGCCGAAUGGCCUCCUCUCAUUUGUAAACUUUCUUAUGUUCUUAUGUUAUUAUUAUUAUUAUUAUUAGUUUAUUUAGCAGACGCCUUUAUCCAAGGCGACUUACAGAGACUAGGGUGUGUGAACUAUGCAUCAGCUGCAGAGUCACUUACAAUUACGUCUCACCUGAAAGACGGAGCACAAGGAGGUGAAGUGACUUGCUCAGGGUCACACAAUGAGUCAGUGGCUGAGGUGGGAUUUGAACAGGGGACCUCCUGGUUACAAGCCCUUUUCUUUAACCACUGGACCACACAGCCUCCUGUUCUUAUAUUCCCAGUUGUUUCGAUAUUUGUUUUUUCACACAUCAAAGGUAACCUAGGGAAUUUUUUUCUGUCAGCUUUUUACUUGGGAACACUUGCCAGGAGAAAGAGAAUUUCUCUUCUUAACAUCGCAGUGUAUCCAGAUCACGCUUCCUCCUGGUGAGUGGUGUGUUGAGGCAUGCUUAUUGGAAGGAGAGUGAUCUGGGUACACUGCAAUCCUUACAAGGCAUUGUGACGGGGGACUGCCCUGUCUUUAUGAACGUGGUAGGGACUGGCAGGGAGGGGGUUAAAUUCCUCCCUGCCUGGAAAACAUGUGAGAAUGUGGCUGGAGCCCUAAUUGAAUAAUCAGCAAUUAUUGAUUAAUUGGGCUCCAGCCACAGGGCAUAAAAGCCAGGGGAGAAGCCCUGGCUAGAGAGAGAGUUCUAGAGGAGAAGCAGCAACUGUGUUUGUCUGUGUGUGUCUGUGUGUGCUGUUUUUGUAAGUAUUUUGAAUCCAGUGAAGGCAACGCCCAGCCUGGAAGGCUUAUUUUGUAAGUUUUGUUUUGUGUGCUUAUUGUCUAUUAGUUUUGUUUAGAAACCUUUUUGUUUGGCCCUUGUGCCUGUUUAUUUUGUAUUUUUGUGAAUUAAAAACUUUAUUUUUGAACUUUCAAACUGUCUCUGAGCCUCACCCUCUGCCAAUCCUGCCACAGGCAUAUAUUUUUCUUCUGGUGAACGCUUCCUAGUGAAUGUGGAUGUAUGAUCCAUGAUCAUGUAAAAUGUUUAACAUAUAAGGAAAGUAAUACUUUUCUGUACAGUGGAGUGUGUUUAUUUAUUUAGACGUGUUUUAUGCAUUGGUCUUCUAUGCGUGAUAUCUUUUUGAUGCAGCCAUUUAUAAAUUCUCUUGUAUGAACCAAUAUGAAAGCAUGCCAUUUUUGCUACUGAAUGUAUUUCAAGCAGUUGUAAUUCCAAUGGCCAUGCACGCAGAAGGGUAGUCACAAUGGUAGAAUGGUACAGAGGUAACAUGUUCUGCUUGGGUUCUGUGUAAUGUUAUUCUAAGGGGAUAUGAAUGGGAUAGUGCACCAGGUUACAGUAUCAGUUUUGAAACACAGGGUUAACUGCGCUUCACUUGGGAUGGAUCUGCUAAUAUAACACCUCAGCAGCAGCUAUUCAGGGAAGAACUCUGUGGAGCCUUGUUAUGGCUUCUAUUUGACUUGUAGGGCUUUCUGUGUUACCAGGAAAGGGUAGCUCCUUAAUUAUAUAGACAGGAUUACAUUACAUCAAGCAAGCGCUGUGCCAAGGAGAGGGUAGCUCCUUCAUUUUCUACAGACAGGAUUACAUUACACCCAGCUUGUGCUGUGCCAAGCCCGCAUUCAGCAAACGCUGUACAUUUCUCACCAAUAGGGUAAGAUAUUGCAGUCUCGCAGACUUCCAGCUACUUAUACAAAGCCAUACUGUCGAACCCUUUUAAUAUCACUUCAGAGAGACUGAGCAUUAAUUGCGACAAGAAGAGGAGUUGACUUUAUCAGGUGUACCAGAUGUUUUCAAAUGAAAAUACAUGUUUGCUAAACCAUGUGUUUCUUUCAGAACUGCACAUUUGAGAACUAUAAUGAAUGGAUGUGCAUGGCAGAGAAAAUAUUUUGAAAGCCUCAGUUACUUUAAUGCUUAUAAUCUUGUGCUUCUUUUAGGAAGUGAUGGUAAGUGACUCCUGUUAUAUUCAGGCCAGGAGAUUUCGAUGUGGUUUGGGACUCAUUUGACUGCUAAUAAGAAGCUUGACAUUGUUUUGC